rnacentral:rRNA from 1 species
AGAGUUUGAUCAUGGCUCAGAAUGAACGCUGGCGGCGUGCUUAACACAUGCAAGUCGAACGGUAACAGGAAGUACUUGUACUUCGCUGACGAGUGGCGCACGGGUGAGUAAUAUAUAGGUUACGUGCCUCUUAGACUGGGAUAGCCACUGGAAACGGUGAUUAAUACUAGAUACUCCUACUUGUAGGGAAAGCUUUUGCGCUAAGAGAUCGGCCUAUACUGUAUCAGCUUGUUGGUGAGGUAAUGGCUCACCAAGGCGAUGACACAUAGCGGGUUUGAGAGGAUGAUCCGCCACACUGGUACUGAGACACGGACCAGACUCCUACGGGAGGCAGCAGUGAGGAAUAUUGCACAAUGGGCGAAAGCCUGAUGCAGCAACGCCGCGUGGAGGAUGACGCAUUUCGGUGUGUAAACUCCUUUUAUCAGAGAAGAAAAUGACGGUAUCUGAUGAAUAAGCUCCGGCUAACUCCGUGCCAGCAGCCGCGGUAACACGGAGGGAGCAAGCGUUAUUCGGAAUCACUGGGCGUAAAGGACGCGUAGGCGGGUUAUUAAGUCAGAUGUGAAAUCCUAUGGCUCAACCAUAGAACUGCAUUUGAAACUGGUAACCUAGAGUAUGGAAGGGGAAAAUGGAAUUAGUGGUGUAGGGGUAAAAUCCGUAGAUAUCACUAGGAAUACCGAAAGCGAAGGCGAUUUUCUGGGACAUUACUGACGCUGAGGCGUGAAAGCGUGGGGAGCAAACAGGAUUAGAUACCCUGGUAGUCCACGCCCUAAACGAUGAAUGCUAGUCGUCGGAGAGCUCGUCUCUUCGGUGAUGCACUUAACAGAUUAAGCAUUCCGCCUGGGGAGUACGGUCGCAAGAUUAAAACUCAAAGGAAUAGACGGGGACCCGCACAAGUGGUGGAGCAUGUGGUUUAAUUUCGAAGAUACGCGAAGAACCUUACCUGGGCCUUGACAUUGAUUGAAUCACUCAGAGAUGAGAGAGUGCCCUUCGGGGAACAUGAAAAACAGGUGCCUGCACGCCUGUUGUUCAGCUCGUGAUCGUGAGAUGUUGGGUUAAGGUCCCGCCAAAGAGAGGCGCCAACUCCUUCUCGU